rnacentral:ribozyme from 1 species
CAACCGGAAAGAUAGACAUGAGGAUGAUAAGAAUGAUAAUAAUACUCUGGACAAGAGCUUCGACGAAGAGCAUAGCAUCAGCGAUGAAUACUCCGAGGUAAAACAAUCGUCGUGAUCAUGAUAUUAGACGUCUUCCAACGUGCGGCGGGCGGAUGGCUGUGGACUGUAGACAAACAAAAUAAACGUAU